UACGUAGGGUGCAAGCGUUGUUCGGAAUCACUGGGCGUAAAGAGAGCGUAGGCGGGAUCGUAAGUUAGAAGUUUGAUACAUGGGCUUAACCCGUGGUCGGCUUUUAAUACUGCGGUUCUUGAGUGUGGGAGAGGGCGAUGGAAUUCCAGGUGUAGCGGUGGAAUGCGUAGAUAUCUGGAAGAACACCAGUAGCGAAGGCGGUCGCCUGGCCUAACACUGACGCUGAGGCUCGAAAGCUAGGGGAGCAAACAGG
rnacentral:rRNA from 1 species